CCUACGGGAGGCAGCAGUGGGGAAUAUUGCACAAUGGGGGAAACCCUGAUGCAGCGACGCCGCGUGAGUGAAGAAGUAUUUCGGUACGUAAAGCUCUAUCAGCAGGGAAGAAAAUGACGGUACCUGACUAAGACGCCCCGGCUAACUACGUGCCAGCAGCCGCGGUAAUACGUAGGGGGCAAGCGUUAUCCGGAUUUACUGGGUGUAAAGGGAGCGUAGACGGCAGCGCAAGUCUGGAGUGAAAUCCCAUGGCUUAACCAUGGAACUGCUUUGGAAACUGUGCAGCUAGAGUGCAGGAGAGGUAAGCGGAAUUCCUAGUGUAGCGGUGAAAUGCGUAGAUAUUAGGAGGAACACCAGUGGCGAAGGCGGCUUACUGGACUGUAACUGACGUUGAGGCUCGAAAGCGUGGGGAGCAAACAGGAUUAGAUACCCGAGUAGUC
rnacentral:rRNA from 1 species